rnacentral:lncRNA from 1 species
GAAGCCCUACAUUCUGCUGCUGCUGCAGAGUGAUGAUUUUUAACAGACCAGAACUUACACAUCUAAAUGAGUGUUGUUGUUCAGUGAAGUCACCUUAGGACAAUGAUUUAAAUAACACCGCGAUUUCUCAAGAAGUUUGGAACUUCUCUUAUGGUUGAGUUCAAAGCCAUUUUAUGUUAUAUGUGGCCCAAACAAGUUUUAUUAGUACAAUUAAAUCUUUAUUGAGGACUUUUGAUGGACCACAUAGUGAACUUGGACUGGGAAUCAAAAGAAUGGUAAGGCAGGGUGUCUGCCUUCACUGUGCCUGCAGUCUGGCUGAGAUGCACAUGUGAGCCACACUAGCACAAGCCAGCAUGCACUGGCCUGUCACAAGAGAGUGCACAAGGGUCUGGAUCCCUGACCCUGAUGAGGUAUGGCGCUCAGCUGAGUUAACCAAGGACUACAAAGAAGGAGACAAGAGCCUACAGCUCAGACUGGAGGAUGAAACGAUUCUGGAAUACCCAAUUGAUGUACAACGCAACCAGCUGCCCUUCUUACGGAAUCCAGAUAUC